rnacentral:rRNA from 1 species
ACCAAUCCUGGUGGAGAUGGGCUCGAAAGAAACAUCCGACUAGAACAAAGAAAUGGAUAUAUAGUCGAUAUAUUUUCCAAUCUGAUAAACGUUCUUGGAAUAUAGGGGUCUCGAAAGAGAUUCUAUUAUUUGACAUAACUCAGGCAAAGCAAAUAAAGGUAAAUUCUUUAAAGAAUAAUAUCAACCCUUAUACGGACGAGGAGUAUUACGUGUCUCGAUCCCUAAUUGUUGAUGCUGAGAAAUUCCGAAAAGCAAUUUAUAAGAAGUAUAGUUUUAGAUGCCCUGUGUGUAAUCAAGCUUUAUUUGGGGGAGAAGACAUCCAUCUGCAUCAUAUUAUUUCACGAAAAGAUGGAGGUCAAUAUUCUCUGAGUAACAUAGCCCCUUUGCAUGCAACUUGUCAUGAAAAUAUUACAUAUACCAAAAAUCCUAGAAGUUUACUUCCUGGAGGAACAUAAUCUGCUUCAGCCGUGUGCGGUGAAAAUCGCAUGCACGGUUGUGAGGGGGGGAAAGUUCGAGAGAACCUACCUAUCCCGAUUGGACCAAUAAGUUUACUUUAGUGGCGAGCUUAAAUAUAUUUAAUCUAUGUAGGCGAAAAAAAUUUAAGUAUUAACUAAAAUGCAUUCUAGUCUUUAAAGUAAAACCCGAAACUAAGUGAUCUAAUCAUGAACAGGUUGAAUUUUAAGUUUCGAUUUAAUGAAGGACCGAACUCGUGUAUGUGGCAAAAUACUGAGAUGAUUUGUGAUUAGGAGUGAAAGGCUAAUCAAACUUAGAGAUAGCUGGUUUUCUGCGAAAUCUAUUUUAGUAGAGCAUUUGGAAUUUUUUCUUUUUUUUUUGUAAAGCUCUCAAUAAAUUAUGGGGAUGAAAAUCUUACUGAUUUUAAUGAAACUAAGAAUAAAAAAAAAUGAUUCCAAAUAGACAAACUAUGAGUUCUAAGAUUCAUAGUUUAGAGGGAAACAGCCCAGAUUAUUUGUUAAGGUCCUUAAAAAUAAUUAAGUGUAAAAAGUGUUAAAAAAUGUUAACAAUCAGCAGGUAAGCUUAGAAGCAGCUAUCCUUAAAAGAAAGCGUAACAGCUCAAUGAUAGAGUUUUUUUGCAUUGAAAAUGUAUAAGGACUUAAAUUAUUUACCGAAACAAUAAAUAAUAUAAAAAUUAUAGUAGCAGAACGUUCUGUAAAUUAAAGAAAACUUAUGAUUACAUAAGUUAGAAAUAUCAGAAGUGAUAAUAUUGGUAUGAGUAACGAUAAACAAUGUAAAGUAAACAUUGUCACCUAAAGUUCUAGGUUUCUAAAAUAAAAAUAAAUUUUUUUGGAAUUAAUCGGUCUCUAAGGGUAUAAACGAAAGUUUAUCCUGAUGAGAAAAAAGUCAUUUUUUAAGAAGAAAUUCUAUAAAAAUAUCACUCUUUUUAUUUGUUUUAGUGACAAAGUAUGAAGAUCAUUUUUAUUUUAUGGUCAAAUUUAAGUUUUUUAAUACUUUCAAGAAAUAGCUAAACAAAAUUAAUAACCGUACUAAAACCGACACAGGUGAACUAGUUUAGAAAAUUAAGGUGCUUGAGAGAAUUGCGUUGAAGGAACUCGGCAAAAUGACUCCGUAACUUCGGAAUAAGGAGUGACUGUAAGAAAGAAAUUUCAUAUAGUUAUCAUAUAAUCGGGGGCAGCGACUGUUUAAUAAAAACACAGGUUUCUGCUAAUUCGUAAGAAGAUGUAUUGAAACUGACGCCUGCCCAGUGCUGCAAGAGAAAAAGAAAAAGUUCCUAGCUUUUUCUAUAACUCCCAGUAAACGGCGGCUGUAACUCUGACGGUCCUAAGGUAGCGAAAUUCCUUGGCAUUUAAUUGGUGUCCUGCAUGAAUGGCGUAACGCCUGCCCCGCUGUCUCCAGCGCAAACUUAGUGAAAUUGAACUUUCCGUGAAGAUGCGGAAUAUUUAUGGCUAGACGGAAAGACCCCGUGCACCUUUACUAUAACUAUAUAUUGUGUUAAAAUUUUUUGUGUGUAGCAUAUGUGGUAAGUUGAUUGCUUUAGAGUAAUAUAUAGGUUUGCGCAAGCGAAUUCUGUAGUGCAACAAAUUUUGAAAUACCACACUCAAAAAUUUUUAUCACUUAUUUAUUAGACAUUGUAUAGUUGUUAGUUUGACUGGGGCGGUCGCCUCCUAAAAAGUAACGGAGGCGUACAUAAGGUAAAUUUGAAUUAAAAUAACAAUUUGUAAGCAUAAUAGUAAUAUAUUUGCCUGAUUGUAAGAUUGACAAAUCGAACAAGGACGAAAGUCGGUUAUAGUGAUCCGGUGAUUCUGAAUGGAAAAGAUCACCGCUCAACGAAUAAAAGGUACGCCGGGGAUAACAGGCUAAUCACUCCCUAGAGACCCUAUCGACGGGGUGGUUUGGCACCUCGAUGUUGGGUGCGAUUCGUUAGUGUAAAGACAGAGAUAAAUACUGUCGUAAAGCUGUGAUAUUCACCCUUUUAUUAACUGUAAUUAAUGAAGAAGAAUAUUGACAACUAAUUUUUUCAGGUGGGUAUACCCACGUAUCCUAUCCCGAUGGGUACUGAUCAUAACCACCAUGAGUUAUUACGUGGACUCCCCUACAAAACAUAUAUUUUAGGUAGUAUGUGUUUUGGAAGCAGGGCUAAAAGUUUAUAACGAGGUACAUAUCGCCGAAGUUAUUUAUGAGAAUAAUAUAAGCAAGUCUAGCGAAAGCGAAUCUGUGUAUUAAAGUGCCGUCACGAGGAACUUUGGGUCAUGAUAUGAAGUCGAAAGAUGCCC